AGCCAUCGGCAACGCCUCUGUCCCGAGCGACGUCUCGCCAGACGAGGUCCCCAGCAAGGAGGUGCUGGAUUCCUUCUUGGAUCUUGUGAGCCAGCCACUCCCAGACUCGGCUGAAAUAUCUUGAGCGACACAGCUGGACGCAGACACGCAGACACGUGGCCAGGGCUGUGAUGUCGCACACUGACAGCUGGGCUCGCCCCAACUGUCACACACGCACGUCCUAUCACGACAGCGGCCGCGGGAACACAGAUGCACAUUCAUGACGCACACAGCCGUCUCUUGUCUCCCUCUGUCCCCACCUCUUCCCAACGCCCAGAGCCGCCCGCCAGCCCCCAGGGCCAGCCUGCCCUUUUCUCGGAGGAAGUGGCUGAUGCAAGAUGUCCAGGAAAUCUCUUCCCUUCCAACCUGGUGUCCGCAACCUUCCGCACAUACUCUACCUACUACACAAAGGAAAACGGAACCUAUGUGAAGGCGGAGGGUGAGGUGGAGGGUAUGAACAUCCUGGGCCUGGUGGUGUUUGCCAUCGCCUUUGGCGUGUGCCUGCGGAAGCUGGGGCCUGACGGGGAGCUACUCAUCCGCUUCUUCAACUCCUUCAACGACGCCACCAUGGUGCUGGUCUCCUGGAUCAUGUGGUAUGCCCCCGUGGGCAUCUUGUUCCUGGUGGCCAGCAAGAUCGCGGAGGGGGGCGACGUGGGGAAGCUCUUCGCCAAACUCGGCAAAUACAUCCUGUGCUGCCUGCUGGGCCACGCCAUCCACGGGCUCCUGGUGCUGCCCCUCAUCUACUUCCUCUUCACUCGGAAGAACCCCUACCGCUUCCUGUGGGGCAUCAUGACACCGCUGGCCACCGCCUUCGGGACCGCCUCCAGCUCCGCCACUUUACCGCUGAUGAUGAAGUGCGUGGAGGAGAGGAACGGCGUCUCUAAGCACAUCUGCCGCUUCAUCCUGCCCAUCGGCGCCACCGUCAACAUGGACGGAGCCGCGCUCUUCCAGUGUGUGGCCGCGGUGUUCAUCGCCCAGAACAAGCAGCUCCCCUUGGACUUCGUGAAGAUCAUCACCAUCUUGGUCACUGCCACAGCGUCCAGCGUGGGCGCCGCGGGCAUCCCUGCUGGAGGCGUCCUCACCCUGGCCAUCAUCCUGGAGGCAGUCGGUCUGCCGGUUGACAUCUCCUGGAUCCUGGCUGUGGACUGGCUAGUGGACCGUUCCUGUACCGUCCUCAACGUGGAAGGCGACGCCUUUGGGGCGGGCCUCCUCCAGCAUUACGUGGAUCGGACAAAGCCUGCGAGCUCGGUGCCCCAGCUGGUCGAGGUGAAGACGUGUGUGGAUCCGAUGCCCGUCCCCAUUGAGGAGGGGAACCCCCUCCUCAAAAGCUACCCGAGACCUGCUGCGGAUGCUGACGGCUUUGAGAAGGAAUCCGUCAUGUAAGCCCAGUCGGGACCUUCCCUGCCGAUGGGGCACUUUGGACAUUCAAAUCGCACGAGAUGGAUAAAGGGACACGCCGGGGCUCUGGCGGCCCUGCCCGUACACUCCGGGGAGCCAGGGGCCCAGCCUCCCUCCCCUGCCCCAGAUCGAAGGAAGUCUGGUCCAAUCCUUGGAUAAACUGGUACAAUGAUCAUUAUGCGAUUGAAGGCUGCUUGGCAAAAAAAAGCAAGUACUGGUACACAGUUGAUCCUCGAACAACACGGGUUUGAAUUGCGGAGGUCCGCUUAUACGUAGAUUUAAAAAAUAAAUAAAUACCUGUAUUGUUUUGAUCUGUUGGGAGUCUGGAUGCAGAGGGCUGACUGUAUGCAUUGCUCUAUGUCCUAUACUAGAUCAAUGCAUACAGGGGACUUGAAUGUCCAUGGAUUUCCGUAUCCAACGGGGUCCUGGAACCAGUCCUCUGGAUACUGAGGGACAACUUAAGUUCUGGGAAAAUCAAGUUUGACUUAUGGGGGGUCGGGGCCCCGAACACCCCUGUUGUUCAAGGUCAACUGUACUCAACGUGGGUGCAUCUCACAGAUAAUAUGUGGAGUGAAAGAA